UUGUUCUAUUAUCUUUUCCCUCACACGCUCCUAUUCUUUCAUCCGCUCACCUUCAAACCCUAAUAAUCUACUCUAUGGCGACUUUUCAGAAAACCCUAAAUCUCAUCCUGUCGCUUUUUCUUCUCCUCAGGAACCAUGUUGCUCACUCCCUCAACCUAAACCUAAAUCGACUUCAUUAUCUCUGAUUUGAUCUUUUUAGAAGACAAUAUAGGAAAAUCCAACAACCCAACUGUGUUUCUCCUCCGUCUGCCGACCGAUUCUUCUCACCGACAACUUUGACACAGAAAACCACAGGAAAAGGGGCAGAUAAUGGCUGUUGCACAAGGGAGGUUUAUUCAGCAGUCGAUGGGAGAGGCGUCGGCGGCUAGGGUUGGGAAUCAUUUGCCGAUAACUCAUGGACAUUUGAAUUUGCUUGCGUCACUUUCCGAUCCUCCGCCACAAUCUUCGAACAACAAAGAUGAUGAUAACCACUGAAUUGUUCUUUAACCGAACCGCCCUGCUGAACUGAUUGCAAAGUUUUUGGACGAGAAACUACGUGUUGUUAAUAAGGGUACAUCUGAGGAAGAAUUGGAGGGCACUCUUGAUAAAGUUUUGGUUUUGUUCAGAUUCAUACAGGGUAAAGAUGUGUUUGAAGCAUUCUACAAAAAGGAUCUUGCAAAAAGGCUUCUUUUGGGGAAGAGUGCAUUUAUUGAUGCUGAAAAGUUGAUGAUCUCAAAGGUUUGAAGUCUUUACGUUUUUUUAUUCGAUGUUAAGUAAGUAUACAUACAGAUCUCAAUAGUUUUUGUGAUUUUUUUUUCACUUUGUAAUUGUUGGCAAGAGAUAGUGAUGAGACAUUGAUGAUGAUGAUGAUGGACACCAACCCAGCCUGUUUGUCAAACAAAUUGGGGGUGAGUUCAUGGCUAAUAAUCCUAGGCCUCCUGUACUAACUUCUGAUGCUCAAUUGAAGGUAAUAUUUUUUAUUUGUCUACAAAUGAUGGGUUUACCAUAAGCACAUUGUUGAGAAGUUGCAUAUUUUAUUUUUAUAUUGUGUCAAAUAGGACUAAAAAGAAUAAUAUGUAUUAGUUAAUUGGUUUUUGUUGUUUGGAAGGCAGUCCCAAAGAUUACAUUUGUUUAUUUGUGGGCGAUUGUGCAUCGCAGACCCUUACCAGCGAAACAGGUUUGGUUUGCCACCUGUUUAUGCCCUCGAUCUGCAGCAAAGACACAAAAACCUUGGGGUUCUUAUUAGAUUUUGUGCAGAUGGUGCUAAAAGGUAUAUGGCUUACAUCAUGGGCUGAUUUUCAUCUAAAGGGUGGCAAAUAGAAUUGGGUUAAACAAGUUGGGUAACAUGCCAAAUGCAAGCAAGUUGUUAGGCACAAGUUAAACCGGUUGGGUUGACUCGAAAACACCUUAAUAUUUUAAAAUAACUAAUGAUUAUAUAUGAUUAAAUCAAUUUUUUCAAAAAAUUAAUUUAAGAGUGUUUAUACAUUAAAAUACAUUUCAGAUGACUUCUGACCCGUUUGCUCUAUUGUUAAAUAUUUUAGCUUUAACCCAUUUGAUUAGUUAAAUAUAAACAACUCAAUCUACACGGUCUCAUGCAAGUUGCUUGUGUAUCAGUAUCUUGACAAUGAAAUUUGGAACAAUGGUUGCAUGGGGAAGUUGACCGAUCAGCCCGUUAACUUGCAGCCUUCUACUAAGAUGAGAGGCAAAAGCCGGCCAAAGUGUACUUAAUGCAUACAUGAUGCAAUCUUAUAAAUAUGUGUCUUCGAAAUAUUAGAUUGGUAUUGUGUUAAUUAAGCUUUUGUCCUCAUAUUUAACCAAUCUAAUUAUUUUAUGAGAACUGUCGGGUCAAUCCGAUCCUUCAUUUGGCCAGACUCACGACAUUUAAUCCUUUCAAUCUUUUUACUAUUUUUAUUGUCUUUCAUGAAGUAAAAUCUCGGUAUGCAGGAUUAGUUUGGGAUGGGCUCAAGCACAUCAGUCAAGGUAUUGUUUUCAAGGUUUUAAACAAGAGUUCAAGGGUGAUGUCCGUUAAGUUUCAUAUAUAUGUUUGAUGACUCUGAAUCUCUGAUGAUGUUGUUAAAAGAGACUAAAGUGCAGUAUAUAUGGCUAGAUCAAAUGAACAAGAAUAUCUGAACAAGUAAUUUAAAAGUUUAGAUCAAGAAACAAUUGUGAAUCUUGAUAAACAAAAGUUGCAGACCCACUUGGAAGGUUAUUGUGCGAUCUAAUCAGGUAACCAAUUUAGGACUUGGUCAAUAGAGAGUUCAUGCUUAUGUAAUGUAAUAUAAAAUGUAAUGUAACUUAAUUUAACUUUUACUUAUUUUAUGUAAUAUUAAUGUAAUUUCAUUUUUUUCUUAUUAUGUGUAAUAUGUAAUUCAUAUACGAAAUUAUGAAUUAUAAAGUUUGUUGUUACUCAA